ensembl:lncRNA
CUUCUCCUCCCGCGUCCCCUCCUCCGCCGCCGCCAUUUUGUGCCGCCCCGCGCAGCGCCGCGAGCACCGCUGAGCGCCCCCCCCCCCCACACACACCCCCCUUUAAUUGUAUCGCCCCCCCGCCGCCGCUUUUGUUUUACGUCGCUUAAUUUACUCAAAAAAAAAAAAAAACCAAAAACAUUUCCAUUUUUCUCUUUUUUUUUUUUUGUCAUUUUAUUUCCCCGUUCUUUCAUCGUUCUUCCCGAUUUUUCCCCACUUCUCCCCUUUUCACCCUCUUUUUUAUUCCCUUUUGCCCCAUUUUCCUAUUUUUCCCCUUCCCUUUUUCCCCCUUUCACCCCCCCCCCGCCCCCCUAAUGGAAGCAGAGGGCAGCAGGCAGGACGCAGCGCAGCGCUGAGCCCCCCCAGCACACAGUGCAAAGUCAUGAGAAAAAGCACAGAACAGAUGCUGGCACGGGGAUGCUCUGAGCGGAUCGUGAGUCCCGGGGCUGUGAUUUGUGCCCGCCAGCCCUAACCAGAACUGGGCUGUGGGGCGAGCAGGAGGCAGCCACGGCUUUUGGAGGGACAGAUGUGGUGGUUUAGCAGAGAAACGCAUGGGAAAUACCCCAAACCCACACCUCGCUGUGUGCGUCUAGCACAGCCUGUGUCCAGGCAGAGCUGUGAGAGGCAAUCCGCACCAGCACGGCGAGCUGAGCGCAGCUCCUUCUGUGUGCACACCAAACAUCAGAACACGGAAAACAUCCGUGGGGAAGGAACGGUGAGGAGAUGUGAACGGCUCAGGUUUGAAGGUCCCGAAGCAUCGACUCAAUGGGAGGCGCAGGGGGAGAAGUUGAGUGGUUCACCGCAGAGCUGUGCGCCUUUGCUCCGUCCUUCUUAAAAUUCACCUCUCCUCUCUGCUUUGCGCAGCAGCCGGCGGAGCCCUGGGGAGCUGGAAAUGCAGAGCUGCAGGGGAUGGGGACAGGCGUGGGGUCCGGCUUUGUGCCGCACCGAGGGCCAUGUCCCCAAAAGAAGAGAUCCGAGCACUGACAGCACUGCUGCCCCGGGCUGUCCCUUCCCCUGCAGAUGUCCCCGUGUGGCUGUCAGUGCUGUGUGUGCACCCCAAACUUCGCCAUCUGAAAGCACGGGGAGCCCAUCUACCUCCCCACAGUGCGGCUCACAAACGCUUCUUCUGACCCGAGCGAAAGGGAGAUGGGAAGCAAAACCUGUCCCCAAAAGUACCCCAAAGCAACAAGCACAGACCUGCCCACAGGGACGUGGGCUGCUGGGGCUGAACCCACAGCUGCCGCCCAGCUCAGGUGUCACACAGGUGGGGACGGAGCAGCCAGCAAAGCAAUGUCCUCAGUGGGCAAGGCGGUGACCACAGGGGCUGCUUGCCCUGAGCUGAGCCCAUCCUUGGCAUCCCCGCAUCGCCUGAUGUAGGGCCGCUGGGUCCAGAAGCCAAGUGCCAAGAAACCUUUGGGAAAAGCACACUGCAGGAGCGUUCCCCACACCCAGGAGGUCUUCUGGUUCCCUUACCCUAUGGGCACGCACCAAAGCACCACAGCAGCCCACGCUGGGUACCUAAAUGAUGCUAAAACAACACCUGUUGGGGCAGAAACCGUCUCGCCCCAAGCCCCACAGGCCCCAUGGGCUGCAGGAGGGUCCCCACACCCACUGCAACCCCUCUGACCCCUGGCCGCUCCAUGGCUCUCCCAGGGCUGUUCGCCCCCCCUCCCCUCCCACAGACCCCCUCUGCACAGCCCCACGGCACCCGCAGCUCCUCCAGCAGAGCCCCUGUGCCCAACAAAGCCUUCCAGCCAGCAGCGCCCGGCUCCUAAUUAUGAUUUCCUUCAAGACGAUCCCAGCAGCGAUAGACAAAACCGUCCCCUCUGGUCGGAGCUGGAAUGCCGUGUCCUAACGACGGCUUUUGUACCGCGCCUGUUGGAGGAAAGAGCGCAGCAGGAGGGGGGAAAGGGAGAUUUAAUUAUAGAGCCGCAUUGUGAUUUCGCACACAUAGCUGGCUGCUGUAAUCAGGUUACAAGUGUAGCUCAUUUUCCUCCCUCCCCUCCCUCUUCCUCCUCUUUUUCUUUCUUCUUUCCCCCUCUCCCUCUUUCCUCUCGGUGGUCCGAAGCGCUCCGUGAGAUCCGUGUGUCGCAGAGCCGCUCCGACAUUGGGCUGCACAGCACAUGGACCCACAUCCCAACACCCCCCCCCGCUGCCCCCCGGGUUCCCACAGCCCCGGGUGGAGAGGAGGAGUCCCUUUUCCCUCUCUUGGGGCGGGAGGAGGAAAACCAGAGGGGAAAACAUCUUUGGAGCACAACUUUGUGUGUUUUUCUAUCCAGGCAAAGCAAUGCUGCGCUCUGUUCGGGGCCGCUCUGAGGUUCAUUGAGGAACCUAUUGUUGUCCAUGUGAAUUCUUUUUUACAUUUCAAAUAACAGGAUUAUUUCCCCAGGGGGUAAUAUCCUGUAAUUUGAACACAAUAAUGGGAAUAAAUUACUUACUUAGAACUAAUAACGACAGCCUGAUUCCAAUAUAUAUAGGAACUGUAACAGCUUUGGUUAGUUAAAGUGUAAUUGUGUCGACGGAUGACAUUUUCUUUCAAAGGAAUCUGAAUGACUUUUAAUUAAAUUUGCUGAGGGUGGGGAGGGAGGGAGGGGGAGACGCCGGCAUCCCAGCGCCCCGAGCGUGGCACCGACGGAGGGGACCGCAUCCCCCAGGGUGCCGCUGCCGGCACCUGGCAUUGCCAGCGGGCAGCCCUGCUUGGUGCUGGGUGAUGCUCCACCUCGAGCACCAGUGACAUUCGGCCACUGGGAUGCAGGGAUGCUGCAGGGAGAGUGUGGUGUGUCCCCAUGUUGCUCCCCAUGCCCCGUGUCCCGUCCCCGUGGCACUUCUGCCCCGUGACAUCCCCACUGUCCCCAGCGGGUUCUGCUGCCGAUUGCUUUUUGUGUUUAUUUUCAGCCCUCGAAGUUCCCUUUGGAGAAGAAAGAAUUCACAAAAGCCAGCUUUCCACCCCGGCCCGCGGAGCGCCGAGUUCCUGCCCCGAAAUAUCUCGGCGAGGAGCGCUGCCAGCGGCUCCGUCCUCCUCCAGGACUCAUUUUCCUCUGUUUAUCUUGAAAAUAUUUCUGUGCUGAGGUCCCACCCAGCGGCACACAGCCCUGCACGGCCGCCUCCAGCCGACACACAGCCCUUGUUUAUGUGGAGCGGAGCCGACGGAGCGCAGGGCCGAUGCUGGAGGAGAGCCCCCCCAGCACAGAGCGUCCCGCCCCGCAGCUCCCCGCUCACCCACUGACACACAGAUGCCUCCAGUUGCUGGUUUGGGAGUUUCUCGUGGUUUAUGUGAUAAUAAUGGCAAAGAAUGCUGCGGUUGAAUCUCCUAGAGCUCUGCUGAGAGUUGGGCACAUCCUGGGGUGCAGUGAUGCUCCGUCUCUGGUCCACGGGUGUCUGCAACAACCGCCCUGCAGCGGGCACAGAGUUUUGCAAGAGGCCGUUGCAAAGGUUUCAGUGUGAAUGUGCUGGGCUUCGUGGCAGAGGGCUGGGAUGGGGACCUGGCUGUCCCCUCACCACCCCGCUGCAGGAUCUGACCCCGAUUUGGGGCGCCCACCCUGAGCAUCCCCUCCCCAAACCGCUCCCCCUUCCCGCAGCAUCACGCCGUGCAAACACCCUCAAUCACAGCAACGCUCAAAGCCCGGCCAGCAGGAUUGAGUUACCUGCCCUGGAAGAAUAAAGGAGGCAUUCAGCCAGAGCUUACGCCUUUCCCCCUGCCAAGGCCCGACACCACGGUGACGGUCACACGCAGAGGCACAGAAACACGAGCCCCGGUGACCCCGAUCUGCAUCCCCCCUCCUCCCACCCCACGGCACCGGGCAGAGCGCACGCUUUGCUUUGCUUGCCCGUCACGAGCUGCCUUAUCUUUUAAUAGAACCUUUAAGAGCAGAAGUCAGGCUACCCGGGCACAAAGGCGGCUAAAUCUCCUCCCGGGACAUUAAUCAUUUUUCUUUGACAUGUUUUGCUAAUUAGACGAAGCGUUUCCCUCGAUGGGGGGGGGGGGCUGGGAAAAAGAAAGAAAGAAGGGGGAGAGGUGGAAGAGAGGAAGGAGCAGGGCAGAAGGACCGAGGUGUAACGCUGCUCCAUUCUUCAAGCACCAGCUUGCAGGGAGCAGACCCAGCCCACGUGGCUCCAACAUCAUCAGGACGUGGCGAUCACCGUCCCUGGAGGUGCCCCAGGCCGUGGUGGGCAUUGGGCAGCCUGAGCUGAGGGGGGCAGCCGGCCCAUGGCCACCCAUCUGUGCCUAUGGGUGCGUGAGCUGAGAUGCCCCACGGGGGGAAAACACAGAGGGUGAAGGUUUCUCCCCCCUGUGCAGCCACUGCUCGUGGAUGCAUGGAGCGUCCCCUGCGAUUUCUUAAAAUGCACCGUUUGUCUGGGAUUCCUGGCAAUGCCUGCUGCUGCACCCACAGACAUGGCCUGGCACCCCCACAGCCCACGGCUGAGGGCUCAUUUGGGGCUGUAGAAGGCAGCAGGAAGCCUCUGCCAUGGUGGCUUGUCAAUAGGUCCUCUAACUGCAGGGACAGGGACAAGCUUGUCCCGGGCAGGACUGGCUCCUUUUUGCAAGAGUCCAACUCAGCUCCCCCAGGACCCGAUGGUUUUUUUUGUGGGGAACAGAAUAACCCACAGCGAAAUCGCUAUGAGGACGCACUGAAACAAAAUCCCGACAAGAAACCGCUGCCUGCUCGUGCCCCCCGGCACUGCAGAGCAUUCGCUCCCAUCGCUUACCAGCAGCUCCAACCCAAACCCUCCAUGUGCAAACCUUUGGGGCAGCGCUAUGGGGCAGCGCUGCAGAAAUCAAUCACAGCGCCGCACUCCCUGGGCGCUCUCCUCAUUGCUGCGGGAUGACACACUCUGCCCCUCCCCCCCCCCCCCCCACCCCCCUCCCGCCGCCCCCACCACCAAAACAAAGCGCUGUUUCUAAUUUGGGGUGUUUGGAAAUCAUUUUCCAUCCCGGCUUCCAAACGAAACCAAAAAAGACAUUUGCUUUCCAGAGCACCGCGGAGGGGUCAGAGCUCUGCGGGAGAGCGAAAAGCCGCGGGAAAAAACGAGUGCUGCACCCCCACACCCAUUUCCAAGAAAAAUAAAAUAAAUUACAAGAAGACAAUGCUGUUAAAUAUAGAGCAUAAAGCACAGCUCGGCACCAUUCAUCAUUCGGGGGGUGUUGUCGCCAACAUCUCCCCGGCGGAUCCUGUUGGCUGUUGCAUCCCCAGGGGACGCGUUGCGGGCGUGCUGAUGCUGGCCCGGGGAGCAGCAGAGGGGCGGUGGGAACCCCGCGGGUGCCUCCGCCGCUGUGUGAGAGCUGCUGGAAAAUCAUAGUCCUCUCCCGAGUUAAAUUCAGCCCUGGGAGCGCCGUCGGGCCGCGUCCCGGCGCGGUUUGUACAGCCAGAGUGGGGUGGAAAAAAGGAAAAGCCUUCAAGGUGAGGAAAGCGCUGUGGGAAGGUCGGCAUCCCAGGUGCUUUCGUGGGGAGAGUGAGGAGGAGCAUCCGGCACGCCGCAAAACAAGUGUUUUUCCAUAAGUUGCUGGUGGAAAGAGCAGAUCAGAGCAGGUAGCUGCGUCCUGCACGGGGGUCCCCAGCUCUGGGGUCUCUGAUAGGAGCCUCAUGGGUGGGGGAGGGUGCUUGGAGCAUCACCCCACUGCGAGGCUCCAUUCUGCCCAGGGUGAGGCAGGGAAACCAAACUGGGUUCGUGUCUGCAAGGCUUCAAUGGAGAACCCCAAGACAUGAAAGGUCUCCAGGCCAUGGGGCGGCAUCCUGGUGGUGGUUGGACAUGGAGCUGUGUUGGACACGGAGCAGUGGUGGAGAUGGAGCAGUGGUGGAGAUGGAGCACUGUUGGCCAUGGAGCAGUGUUCAGUCCACAGCAUCAGGGCAGGAUUUCCCACCCUUCCCAGCUCAAUUCCUGUGAGCAUUUCUCAUGGACACCCAACGUGUGCCAUCACUGGACUCACAACUUCUCCUCAUCUCCUCCCCACCUCCAUCUGCCCCCGAAGUGCUGCACAGAGCACUGGGAGGGCCCCGAGGAGGAAAAAAAAAAUAGAAAAUAAUCAGAACUGUUUAAAAAAAAAAAAAAAAAGCCACUGGAAACAAACAAACAGCUCUGAUUUAUCGCUCACGAGAAGAAAUGGUGCAUGUUGGAAGCAAGCACAGGAAGUCCUGGGGACAAUAAAUCCCGCACGGGAGCAGAGAACCAACACAGUUCCACGUUCGGGAACGCAGCGAGGAUAUGGAGACAGCGGGAGGGUGAAGGGGGGGAAUUUGGGGUGGGACCCCAAAGCAGAGGGGUGCGGAGCUGGGAGCGCUCUCCCCAUCACCUCGAGUUUUGGGAUGGAGCCCAGGUGCCGGCAAAGGGAUCCGCCGGGACCCCCCGCUCUGAUGUGGCCGUGUGAGGACGGGGAGCAGCGGGGCUCCGUCCCGACCUCAUCACCCGCGGAACACCAGCAAUCCUGGCUGUGCUGUGGGUACAGAAACAGCACGUCCCCACUGCUGGCCGGGGCUCCUGGCAGCCCCAGGGAGGAUUUGGCUGCGCAGGAAUUUGGAAGCUGCCUGAAAUCCCGAAGAAAUGAGGGAAGGCUGAGGAGUGUCGCUGUGAUGGAGGCUCAGCCCCGCCACGGCAGCUUGCAGCACCCCACGCAUGGCGCCGGCAGCAAACUGGGAGCUGUGGCUGUGGGAUAUCAUCCCCUCUUCUAUGGGGACACCGCAGGGGCUCCCCAGGACCCCCUGACCCCAUUCCCCCCCCCCCCCCCCCCAUGGCUGGGGGUCACAUUUGUUGCAUCCUUUGGGAUGAGGCAGAAAACACCACAGCACUCAGUGCCCCAUCUCCGUUUCAUUGUCCUCCCCGCACCCAAACGUGGUUUGUUUUUAGCCCGGGAAGGCGGUGGGGUGGGGGGGAGGGAUGAGGCUGAUUAUUAAAUGCCAUCGGCUCCAAUUAAUCCCCCAAAUUGACUCAGAGGUACCACGGCGCCCAUUCCGGUGAAUGUUUUGCCAUCUUUCAGUGCUGCUCUGCAGAUCCGACCCAUAGCAGCCAUGGACAGACCCAACGGAUCAGAUGUGAUCCCAAACGCGAUGGCAGUGAGCCCGGGCUAGGAAAGCAGAGAUCCCAAACCCACCCCGUUGGGCACAUCGUGCUGCACCAGCGCCGCUCUGCAGAAGGCAGCUGGAGGCUCUGCCCCUAUCCCAGCGCCGGCUGUGGGGGAUUUACCAGCACCAGCACGGCCCUUUGCUUUGCUUUCCGAACGAAAGUAAAGCGGAGCAGUUUGCAGAAGGUUCUCAUUAGGGAAACAUCUGGAGUCAGCCCUUCUCCCCCAAAGGGCAGCGGAGUGCUCGGAGGAAUCGGGGGAGGAGGAGGGAUGGAUGGCUGAGGCGUGUUUCGGCGUGCUGCCGGGGCAGGGACCCAAGGAAGGUCCCAGCAGCGCUCCCAGCAUCUGUCCCAGCGCCCGGGGGUGCCCGGAUCUGUCCGCUGGGAUGGAUGGGGUAAGGAUGCUCCCGGUCCCUUGAGGGACACGGGCUGGUGGCGCUGCCGUCGGGGGACGUCACCCCCUCCUCCGGGUGCCCUUCCCGCUGCCUUUGGGCGCUCACUGCGGAGGAGCGCGGGUCCGGAGCGGCGCAGUGCGUAGCGCGCGGGGUACGUCCCGCAGAUGGGACCGUCCCCUCUCCUGUCCCCAUCACACAGGCUGUAGUGACAUCUGCUGGGCUCUCACUGGGGAAGUCCCGCGGAACCCGCACGGCACGGACCCUCCGGCGCCGCACAGACCCGGAUGGCAGCGCUUCCCCUCGUCCUGGGAGAAACGACGGAUGUCUGACGGCCGCGGUGUGCCCCGACGUGCCGCCGUUGCUGCGAGGGCGUCGCUGUCCGUAUACGGUGACAAAACCAAACUGGGACCCAUCCGUGAGCGCAGCGCGCCCGCAGCGUCCCGCUGCCCGCAAGGGGCUCUGCUGGGAGCGGAGUGCUGCACGGACAGCGGGGUGAUGGAGUGGGGACGGCUGUGGUCACAGCCCCCAUGGAGAGGGCAGGGGUGGCACUGUGCUACUGGGGGGCGGGAGAGACCUGGAGCUGGAGAAACCCUGCGCCCACCUGGGAGUGGGAAAGGACGCGAUGAGGAGCGGGUAGGGAUGGGGGCAGGCUGUUUAUCUGGAGCUGAUUUUGAUUUUCCCCUUUCUGAUACCAGCAGGAUGCCGUGCUGCGCCUCAUUAUGCAAAUAGAAGCAAUUAGAGCUCACCCAGGCUCUGCCCACGUGAUGGUUUAUGGCACUCGCAGAAAUCCUUCCUGCUACAUGAGGAGAAUGACAACGGCCCCGGGCUGCAGCCAGCGCACCCCAACCGCGGGGAGCUGAUGGCGGUGCCUUUGGUGGAGCCCCACAUCAGGGACCGACCCCAUCACUGCUGCCCAGAAGCGCCCACGGGAGGGACUGCCCAGGAGGAGCCCCCCAACCCCCCAGGUGACAUCGUGGCACUGGGGACGGCUGCAGCCCUCAGCCCCGAGGACGGCACGUGGGGCUGCAGUGCCACGCGUGGCAUACAUCAGUGCAGCUCAGUCCGCCCAACCGGGGGCUGCCGUGGUUAUCCCACGGUCACCCAUUCCGAAAUAGAAUAUGGAAGGCAAACAUGUACAGAGUCGCCAGCCCACCUCACGCCGGACUUCCUCGGUGUAUUUUCAGUUCCUUGAGCAGGGAAGGGCUGUCCUGGGCCCAGUGCUCAUCGUGGCACAAGAGGCGUCCAUCAGUAGCGCAGGGUGCGGACACAGCGAGGACCGGAGCACAGAGAGCAGCCCCGUGGGGACACAGCAUUGGAGGCUCUGGGACUACCUGAGGGCCACUGAUGGGUGAGAGAGUUGAUUUUAAAGUGGAGGAUCUCCAAUAAAGGCAGAGGAAUACAACCUCCAAUGGGCACAGGGGAAGGGCAGAACUCACCCAGCAAGGAGCCAGCAGGGCACGGCCUGCACAGCCAACGGUGGGGAGGGCUGGAAUCCCCUCCCGGGUUCGGGAUGCACUCGGUGUGCUUUUAAAGGGGCUCUGGUUGUGCUUCAAAACAGCCUGUCUGUAAUUGCCAAAAAAAUAAUUAAAAAAAAAAAAUAGACAAAACAACCCGCUACAAUGACUAAUUAGCUCGCUCCUGCCUCGUACCCUGUAAACAAAUGUAUUUGUAACCAAUUUGCAAGCACUUUGCAUAAGGGGCCCAGAACACUCAUGCCUGUUUGAUGCAUUUUGACAUUAAUUUGAUAAUAGCGGCUUAACAAGGAAUCCAGGCUCCCUAGCUAUAAAUAUGCUGCUUUUCCCCCUCCUUUUAUCUGCACAGUGAAAUAAUGUUGUUUUUCCCCCUGCUGCAAUAACCACCAUCCAACCCUUUCAUGAACACCCUUUAUGUCCUUUAGCAUUUGCAAGGCUUUUUUUUUUUCCUCCUCUCUCUUUUCUUCCCUCCUCCUGUAGAAAGCAGGAGGGUUUUACGAGCUGUCCUCUUCAUUCCUGGUUACGGAGGGGAUGGAGAGGACAGCGAUGGUGCUCCAAUAAUGCUGCUUAUGGGAGAGUGGCUCAGAAGCCCUUCCUCCAUCCACCUGUGCUCCCCACCUGUGGCAGGGAUGCAGCUCAUCCUCUUUUCCCCCUUCUCAGCACGCUGUGGAUCUCCAACUCCACGCAGCCCUUCGGUGCCACACCAGCAGCAAAUGGGAGCACAAUGAAAUGGGAAUGGGAUGCUGGGGACAGCAUUGGUGCCACCCAGAGCACAGGUCCCAGCCCCAGUGGGUGGCACCGCAGCAUCGCCAGAGCCACCGCGUGUCCCACAGACACCAAACCACAGCCACAGCCCAUCCCUGCCCCAGCAGCAACACUUCUCUCCUCCUGGUCCCUCCCAAAGCUUCCCAUCUAUGUGUAGAACCGCGGGAUGGUUGGGUUGGAAGGAACCUUAAAGACUGCGGAAUGGUUGGGUUGGAAAGGACCUCACAGCCCCUCAGCCUCAACCCUGCUGUGGGGCAGCGUGGAACAAUAAUGUGACUGAAUGGCUGCAGAGCUCUCACCCUGCUGUCUCCCGGCUCCCCUACGGCCCCCACCUGGGAACAGUCACAGCUCUGUGCCAGCAGAUGUGCCGCAGGGGCACAGCACAGCUCCAGGACGAGCUGCUCCAUCCCCAGCCCUCCUCUGGGAUUAUUAAUGCCCAAACAAUGCAGUGAGCCCCAGCGAUAAGCCAGAGCCCCAGCAGAGUACAUUCCUUCCUCAGCCUCCU